AGUGAUUUAAGGAUUCAAAACAAAAUUUCAUCUGCUUUUUGGGUGUGGGUCGCAUCUCCCUAACGCCACUUCCUUUUAGGUGGGCAAUCCUUCCGAAGGAGAUUCCCUAGUGCUUAUUGGUUAAUUGAAUAGCUACAAGUGAAUUUUUUAGGGUUGACAAUCUCAACAUGUCAUUGACGCUUUGCUUGGUAAUAUUGGAGUGUCUCCUCGUUCUACCAUGGGUGUAGGUUGCAUCCCCCUGACACCAUUUUCCCCACUUGGUGGUUCGAGAGAGGUCUCCUGCUUCAUAGGGACUAGUUGAAUGGUUACAAGUAAAUCAAAUUGCUUGUAGUUCUAACUUGUACAAUAAUUUUUUUGGUGAGUCUCUGUUCGCUUCAACAUGCCAUUGCUUACACUGAGUAGACAAAAAAAGAAAGAAAAAAAACUCUAAUUUAUUUAUCUAUUCAAUUUGGUGUUCUGGUGUUCCCUGUUUCUCGUCUUAGGUUGUUGGCUUGCAUGAGAUCUUUGUUUAGGUGCGGCACAGUGCACCUUCACGCAUGCACCAUCACCAUGUCCACUUCAAUCCUCACUCCUCUUCCUCUCAAGCCCAUCUCUGUCAACACCCUCAAUAAAGGAACACUCAAACCCGCUUUUCAAUCCUUGACCCUCCUUUCUACUCACCCACUCGCAACCCCCUCACGUCUCGAACACGCGCAUUCUCUCCUCCUCGACCUCUGCGUCGCCGCCAAAGCCCUCCCACAAGGCCAACAGUUGCAUGCCCUUUUGCUAAAAUCUCACCUUUCGGCGUUUCUGGCCACCAAGCUCGUGCUCAUGUACGGAAAGUGUGGCUCUUUGCGCGAUGCAGUGAAGGUGUUCGAUGAAAUGAGUGAAAGAACUAUUUUCAGCUGGAAUGCCCUGAUGGGUGCGUUUGUGUCAAGUGGCAAAUACCUCGAAGCUAUUGAGCUGUAUAAAGAUAUGAGAGUUCUUGGGGUGGCGAUAGAUGCUUGUACUUUUCCCUCUGUGCUUAAAGCGUGUGGUGCUCUUGGUGAAAGCCGCUUGGGGGCUGAAAUCCAUGGUGUGGCGGUUAAGUGUGGAUAUGGUGAGUUUGUGUUUGUGUGCAAUGCACUUAUUGCUAUGUAUGGGAAGUGUGGUGAUCUUGGUGGGGCUAGGGUGUUGUUUGAUGGGAUUAUGAUGGAGAAAGAGGACACUGUGUCUUGGAAUUCUAUUAUUUCGGCACAUGUAGCGGAAGGGAAUUGUUUGGAGGCAUUGUCGCUUUUUAGAAGGAUGCAGGAGGUUGGUGUUGCUAGUAAUACGUAUACUUUUGUUGCAGCUCUUCAGGGUGUUGAGGAUCCCUCGUUUGUUAAACUGGGUAUGGGGAUACAUGGUGCAGUAUUGAAAUCUAACCAUUUUGCUGAUGUCUAUGUUGCCAAUGCUUUGAUUGCUAUGUAUGCAAAAUGUGGUCGAAUGGAGGACGCUGGAAGAGUUUUUGAAAGUAUGCUUUGCAGGGAUUAUGUGUCGUGGAAUACAUUGCUUUCUGGUUUGGUUCAAAAUGAGCUGUAUAGUGAUGCUCUAAAUUACUUCCGGGAUAUGCAGAAUUCUGGUCAAAAGCCUGACCAGGUGUCAGUGUUAAACUUGAUUGCGGCAUCUGGCCGAUCGGGAAAUUUAUUGAAAGGGAAGGAAGUUCAUGCCUAUGCAAUAAGAAAUGGAUUGGAUUCUAAUAUGCAGAUUGGGAACACGUUGGUAGAUAUGUAUGCCAAGUGUUGUUGUGUGAAAUAUAUGGGCCAUGCUUUUGAAUGUAUGCAUGAAAAAGACUUGAUUUCUUGGACUACUAUCAUUGCUGGCUAUGCUCAGAAUGAAUUCCAUCUGGAAGCAAUAAAUUUGUUCCGGAAGGUUCAGGUGAAAGGGAUGGAUGUUGAUCCCAUGAUGAUUGGAAGCGUUUUGCGGGCUUGCAGUGGGUUAAAAUCUAGAAACUUCAUCAGAGAAAUCCAUGGUUAUGUUUUUAAAAGAGAUUUAGCUGAUAUAAUGCUACAAAAUGCCAUUGUCAAUGUAUAUGGAGAGGUUGGGCACAUAGAUUACGCAAGGCGUGCAUUUGAAUCAAUUAGAUCGAAAGAUAUUGUGUCUUGGACAAGUAUGAUUACCUGUUGUGUUCAUAAUGGACUUCCAGUUGAAGCUCUUGAACUUUUCUACUCUUUAAAACAAACUAAUAUUCAACCUGAUUCUAUAGCGAUCAUUAGUGCACUCUCUGCCACUGCUAAUUUAUCUUCAUUGAAGAAAGGGAAGGAGAUUCAUGGAUUUCUGAUUAGGAAGGGUUUCUUCUUGGAGGGACCAAUUGCUAGCUCUCUGGUGGACAUGUAUGCUUGCUGUGGAACUGUGGAGAACUCAAGAAAGAUGUUUCAUUCUGUAAAACAGAGAGAUCUAAUUUUAUGGACUUCUAUGAUUAAUGCUAACGGAAUGCAUGGAUGUGGAAAUAAGGCCAUUGCGUUAUUCAAGAAAAUGACUGAUCAAAAUGUUAUUCCUGAUCACAUUACCUUUUUGGCUUUAUUAUAUGCAUGCAGCCAUUCAGGGUUGAUGGUUGAAGGUAAGAGGUUUUUUGAAAUUAUGAAAUAUGGAUAUCAAUUGGAACCCUGGCCAGAGCACUAUGCCUGUAUGGUCGAUCUCCUCAGCCGUUCUAAUUCCCUGGAAGAGGCUUACCAUUUUGUGAGAAACAUGCCUAUCAAACCUUCUUCUGAAAUCUGGUGUGCUCUUCUUGGGGCAUGCCACAUUCAUUCUAAUAAAGAAUUGGGAGAGCUUGCAGCAAAGGAGCUCUUACAAUCGGAUACAGAGAAUUCAGGAAAGUAUGCACUGAUAUCAAACAUCUUUGCAGCAGAUGGAAGAUGGAAUGAUGUUGAAGAAGUGAGGUUGAGAAUGAAGGGAAAUGGGUUGAAGAAAAACCCAGGAUGCAGUUGGAUUGAGGUUGACAACAAGAUUCACACCUUCAUGGCAAGGGACAAGUCUCAUCCACAGACUGAUGACAUUUAUCUAAAAUUAGCUCAAUUUACAAAACUUUUGGAAAAAAAAGGGGGCUAUAUAGCUCAAACUAAGUUUGUAUUCCACAAUGUUAGCGAAGAAGAGAAAACACAGAUGUUAUAUGGACAUAGUGAAAGGUUGGCACUUGGUUAUGGUCUGCUUGUUACACCAAAAGGUACUUGUAUUCGAAUCACAAAGAACCUUCGUAUUUGUGACGAUUGUCAUACAUUCUUUAAGAUAGCAUCAGAAGUCUCCCAACGGCCCCUUGUUGUAAGGGAUGCCAAUAGGUUCCAUCAUUUUGAAAGAGGACUCUGUUCAUGUGGAGAUUUCUGCCAUGGUGGUCGUGGCGGUGAAACAUUCAGAGAUUGGCAAAUGGAACUCUCAGAAGAAUGGAAGCCAUUCUUCCCAACUGGCGCAUCCACCGUAUCUCCUAUUCUUCAAUCCCAUUCCCGUAAUUCUCUCCCUCUCGGUCCCCUCGUCUUCAACCCUAACCCUAACCCCAACCCUAAUUCCCUCUCCCUUCUCUUCUCUUCCCCCUCCCUCUUGCCCUCUCUCCAUCUCCCUCCCCAUCUCUUACCCUCCCGCUUCCUCCUCACUUCCCACCCUCAUUCCAUUCCCCCCUCCACCGCUUCCUCUGUCGCCUCCCUCUUCUCUUCCCCCAAUCAAAACGACGCCGCUUCCCUCCUCCUCUGCAACCGCCUCCACCUCCUGCAUUACCCUAACAGUCCAAACGCCAUCGUUUUCUUCCCCACCGGCGCCAACGACGACAAACUCGGCUUCUUCAUUCUCCGCGUCAAGGAUUCGCGCCUCGACAUUCAGCUCGAAGCCAACGGCGACGUUUUUUGUGUUUACACCGGCUCCGCGCAUCGUAUCUUGAACAUUUCGGUGAAUCCCGUCGCCGAAUUCGAUCGCUUAGAUGAUUCUAAUGUUAUCGGGUAUUUGUUGGCUUCCACUCUCUAUUCCGUUCAUUGGUUUGCAGUGAAGCACAAUUCCAUUUUGGAUCGACCUAGCGUGUUUUAUUUGGGUGGUAAAACGUUUAAGACUUGCCCUGUGGCUCAUGCUUGUUGGAGUCCUCAUGUAAUGGAAGAGAGUCUCGUUUUGUUGGAAAAUGGACAGUUAUUCUUGUUUGAUUUGGAGUCUCAUGACACCACAGGUACUGCUUUCAAGGGAACUAGGUUGAAAGUACCUUGGAAUGGUUUGGGUUUUUCGGGAAACAACAUGGUGUGGUUGAGUUGUGAGUUUAGUUGGCACCCCAGGGUUUUCGUCGUUGCGCAUUCCAACGCUGUUUUCUUGGUUGAUUUGAGGCUGAAGGAGUGUAGUGUGAGUUGCUUGAUGAAGAUUGAAAUGCUGCGGAUGUAUGCUCCGGGUGCAAAUGAGCGAUUUCUUGCACUGUCAAGGGCUGGUCCUGACGACCUUUACUUCGCUGUGGCUUCUACCAGUUUGUUGCUUCUCUGUGAUGUGAGGAAGCCUUUGGUGCCGGUGUUACAGUGGAUGCAUGGUAUUGAAGGACCUUGUUUUGUGUCUGUAUUGAGCUUGUCUGAUUUGAGGUCCCACUCGAGGGAUGAUGCUUUUAAGUUGGCUUCUGAAUCUGGGUUUUGUAUUAUGUUGGGAUCAUUUUGGAAUUGUGAGUUCAAUAUCUUCUGCUAUGGGUCUAUAUUGCCGUUUCGUAAAGGAUCCAUUACUUCGAAGGUUAACCCAAACGUCUGUGCUUGGGAGCUUCCAUUUGAAAUCAAUUUAUCUGGUCAUGAGUGUCAUUGUGGGAGUUGUCUCUUAAGGAAAGAAUUCUCAAAGGAUGCUCUUCCUGAGUGGGUUGAUUGGCAGCUAAAGAAAGAGAUAGUUUUGGGAUUUGGGGUUUUAAGCAAUGACCUUGCUGCGUUACUGUGUGAACCAGAUGAAAAUGGGGGUUUUACACUUAUAAGGCUAAUGUCAUCAGGAAGGUUUGAAUUGCAGAGAUAUCAUGCCUGUUGGACGAAGGCUAGAAACAUGAAAGAUUGCCAUGAUCAAGUGUUUUGUUUGGACAGACACUUACUGUACCCUGAGAGUGAUGAGAAAUACAAAUUUCCGAAAUAUUUUCACUACUUAAAAUUGAAUUACCUUUAUGCAUAUGCAAGGGGUGAUCUUUCCCGAUUUCUGGUUAAAAAACUAGAGAAGAACUGUAUGAAUGCUCAGGACCAGGAGCCCUUUUGUGAUGAAGUGCAUGAGUUAUUGUGUGAGAAAUUAAAUGCUUGUGGGUUUAGCCAAUCAAAAUCAUGUCCAGCAGUUACUUCUGUUUUUAAUGAUGUCAAGCUACCAGCAAGCUUACAUGAGGUUGCUUUGAGAAGAUUGUGGGCUGACUUACCUAUGGAACUAUUACAGUUGGCAUUUUUGAGUUAUGUUGAAUGUCAUAAAGUUGUUGGAGACCUGCACCAAAAUAAGGUAGCUUUGGAAUUCUUAGCUGUUCCAGACCUUCCUCAAUUGCCUCCAUUCUUUUUAAGGAAAUCAUCACCCCACAGCAAUGAUGACAUUGUGGGUCCAGUUAUUCCUUUUCCUGUUCUACUUGUGCUUAAUGAAUUUCGCAAUGGGUACUCAAAUUUGGAAGGAGAUGAAUUUUCAGUAGAAGCAGAGCUUGGCCUCAAAUACAAAGAAGUCAUGCAGGUGGCUGGUGAGAUCGCUGAUUCAGCUUAUGGCCCUGCACACCUUGAUGAUCAUGUAGUCUCCCUUGCCGAGGAUGGAGAGGAAACCUGGGUUGGUUCUUCGAAACCAAAAUCUUUUUUGUUAUACCAUCCAGUUGCAUUCAACUCAUCUGCCACCGACCUUGCACAGGAAAAGUUUGUUUAUAGCAAUACAAUUUAUGAUACAUUCAUUUCUCAUGUUCCAGAGAAGAAGUCCAAUGAGAAGACUGAGUCUGUUGGACAAGAGAUAUUUGAUGAUCUUUGCCCUGUUGAGUUGAGGUUUGAUGCUUCUGUGAAGAAGCUUGAACCUCAAGGUUUAAAGGCAUGCAAUCUAUUGAAGAGACAGAUGUCUAAAUGGCAAAAUAGUUUUGAUUCGUAUAAGGAAUUCUGUAUUCAAUCUAGAUUUGAAAAAAGUAGUUAACUGCUGAUCUCUCCUUUAUUGAAGAAAUUAGUUAUGGAAUCUGGUUUUGGGAAGCUCCCUAUUUUUGAAGUUGAAGCUACAAUUGAUAUUGCCUUGGACUGCAUGGCAUCUUUAUUGAAGAAAGUUGAGGCUAAUCAAGCUUCAUUCUGCUCAGCUAGUUGGGUGACUAUGAUAUUCCCUUUUCUGGUGUCUGAUGUACAUCAUUAAGUGUUCCUCAGGAUCUUGUCAUGUCUUAUAAUUGAAGAUACCUCACAGGCUCAUCCUGAAGAAUUAGGCAUGUUGGUUGAAGUUUUGAAAAGUGGAAUGGUUACCAGUGCUUCAGGAUCCCAAUAUCGACUUUCCCUUGAUGCAAAAUGUGAUUAUGGGAAUAUUGGUGGAUCCUGGGAGUUAAUAAUUCUGCUCAGAAGGUUUUAUGUGAAGCCACCAGUUUUUCUCUUUUGCUUACAACACUUCAUGGGUUCCAAAGUGAUGGUGGGGACUUGGACCAAUCUUCAUUCAAUGUUUACAUUAAGGUGUUUACGUACCUGAUGCAUGUUGUAACUGCUGGAGUAUCUGACAAUGCUAUUAAUACAAUGAAGUUGCAUGCAAUAUAUCUGACAUAGAAAACUUUAAGUUGUGUCAGCAAUUACGAAUUGUUCCACUUUUAAUCCUAUAUAUGGCUGGUUUUUCUUCACAUUUGCUAGAGAUAAUCUUGAAAAAUUCUCUAGUAUGCCGUGACUGUUGUAAAUUGUGUUUCUGAGCAAGAGCUACUUUAACUUUUAUGUGCUUCCAAGUGCCCCUUUGUUGCUAAUCUUUUCCAUCCUUUACCAGGGGAGACAUGAAAGCAGUCAAAAUUCUCUUCCAUUGGUUCACAGUUUUAGCAACACCUGCUAUCUGUCAUGGAGAGACACUGAACAUAAGAUCUGUGAAACCAAAUACAGUUUUACAGCCAGGAAUCUUUAAGAACUUCAAUGUCCUAAACCAACUAAGAUGUAAGUUUAAUUUUUCAUAUUGUGUCUGAAUUCUGAAAUGUAUCCAGUGAAUUUGAGAAAGUCUCCCUACAACAGUCACAUCACAAUCCUUUCAGGGAGUACUUGAGGCACUAAGGCUUAGUUGUGCUGGAUAUCCAACAAAAAAAAAAAAAAAUUUUAGAGUUUCUUGAUCGCUUUGGAGUGCUAGUUCCCGAUGUCCUUGAUUGGUAUUAGAUUAUUUGUUUUCUAAGCUAACGUUUAAAAUGCUUGGUGGGUAUAAGAUUAUUUGUUAGAGCAAAAUGAAAAGGAUGUAUUCCGACUUUGGCAUGAUGGGAGAGAUCAAAUCUUAUACCCGAGAGAGUGUUUGGACUUUUCUAUGUUGUUUAUAAAAAGGAUGCCAAAACAAAGGGUCUGUCUUUUUUUUUUCCUUUUCGAAAAGAGUCUUGAUUUGUACUUGUAUUGGAUAAUUUUAAGUUUAUAACAAUUACUAAGAAAUCACAAUCUGA